GUCCGGAGCCGUGAAGGGUUCCGGGAAAGGGAGGCCUCUGAUACAAGCUUUCGCCUUAAGAUGAGCCCAUGGCCCAUCAGCUAGUUGGUAGGUAAAGGCCUACCAAGGCUACGACGGGUCGCUGGUCUGAGAGGACGACCAGCCACACUGGCACUGAGAUACGGGCCAGACUCCUACGGGAGGCAGCAGUGAGGAAUAUUGCGCAAUGGGGAAACCCUGACGCAGCAACGCCGCGUGUGGGAAGAAGGCCUUCGGGUCGUAAACCACUUUUGCACGGGACGAAAAAGGGAUAUCGAACAAAUAUCCCCGAUGACGGUACCGUGAGAAUAAGCCACGGCUAACUCUGUGCCAGCAGCCGCGGUAAGACAGAGGUGGCAAGCGUUGUUCGGAAUUAC
rnacentral:rRNA from 1 species